GGCGAGGUAUCCGAGCGGUCCGAGGAGUGCAGUUAGGGUGGGCUUUGGUUUCAAUUUCAGCAUCUGUGUUACGAGCGUGGGUUUGAAUCUCACCCUCGUCG